CUCCCAACAAAUGUCUUCUUGGCUUCAGUUAAUCUUGGUUGUUCAUGCUCAAGAAUUCUGGAUCAUACAAUAUGGGGGAGGUGAAUUAACCCUCAAUUCUCAAUGGCACAACUAAGUCACUGGCCUUAGGAAAAAAAAUUAAAAUGCAAACAAAUAAAAAGCCAGAGACGUGCCUAUAUGAUCUAUGCAUUCCAAGGAGAUGAGAGGAGUUGUGGGCACCAAUGGCUGUUCAUCCUCAGAUCUGCAUGACCACAAAGAUAAAAUUAAUUGAAUGAAUGCGUGAAUGAGUGAAAUCAUUCUUCAGAGCAAUUUAACUCAUCUUUGAGUUUCCUACCCAGGUGAAGAACUGGAGUUGGAAAUGACUGUACCUACUGCUGUGAAUUUUAUGAUACCAUUUACCAAGAACUUCAGAGUCUUUCUUGGCACCACGAAUACGCCAUCUGAUCACUGUCUGGAGAUGCAGGAGAGAACUGGAUUCUAGAAGUCCUGAUUUCCUUCAGCUCUGCUUCCUUCUUGUGUUCUGGAAGAGUGACAUUAGAAAAGGGAUCAGAGGCAGCAACAGACCCUAUUUGGGAGGCAGACGAAGGCACAAGAGAGAUGGAUUCUCCUCCGGUUACUUGAAUCCCUGUGACUGCCCAGCACUGAGCUUAUGUCAUAUUCAUGGAUCAGUCCUGAAACAGGCUUCUGUACUACUGGGAAGCUCUGGAGCUGGAUGCUAAUUCCCAAAUAUGACUGAACAUAUUGCAGAAGGAACAUGAGAUCAUCUGCAAUGCACCAUCUGGAGGCUCUGUGGAAUGUAAAUUCUUCUUUGAGACCUGGUGACUAGAAAACAGGUUCAAUGUGACUAUGGAUUGCCAUUCGGGUAAAACCUUACCUCUGCAAAAGACCAGCCAUCCUAUACUACACAGAAUAUGGAGACUCAUUCUGUGAAAGGAGACUAGCUUGUUCAAAAUCACACAGACUACUCAAGGAUACAAUAUCUUCAGACACCUCUUCCAGAGAAGGACCAUAUGCUAAGUGAACACAAAUUCUGAGUGACCUGCUGGGUGUGUUGGCAGCAUUCUGAGGUGGAAGUGAGGAUGGUAAUACAGCCCAACACAUCAUAUCACACCCUUGCCUUUUUCCUUUUUUUUCUCCUACACCCAAUACCCAAGGACUUGCACCUCUUGAUUAAACUGUCAGAAUCUUAAUCCUUCCCUUGGGCUCCGUUUUAUGAGGGACUCAAUUAAGACAACAUCCAAGUGG